rnacentral:rRNA from 1 species
UACGUAGGGUGCAAGCGUUAAUCGGAAUUACUGGGCGUAAAGCGUGCGCAGGCGGUUCGCUAAGACAGAUGUGAAAGCCCCGGGCUUAACCUGGGAACUGCGUUUGAAACUGGGAGACUUGAGUGUGGCAGAGGGGGGUGGAAUUCCACGUGUAGCAGUGAAAUGCGUAGAUAUGUGGAGGAACACCGAUGGCGAAGGCAGCCCCCUGGGUUAACACUGACGCUCAUGCACGAAAGCGUGGGGAGCAAACAGG